GUGAAUCAUCGAAUCUUUGAACGCAUAUUGCACUCUCUGGUAUUCCGGAGAGUAUGCCUGUUUGAGGGUAAUUAAAAAGAAUCUCUAACAAAUUUUUUUGGUCAAAGGAUAUGAGUUCUCCGUGUAUAUAGCGGUUGUUUGACAUAACUGGUGAAGUCUCAUUUUAGUCGAGAUGAGUAAUCAUAUUAUUUUGCGAAAUCUUCAUUAUGUGACUAUCAAGUUUUGACGCAUACAAUUUGGGUUUGUAUGCGAUCAAUACAAAUAUUUUGAACAUUACUUCAAAUCAGGUAGGAGCAC
rnacentral:misc_RNA from 1 species